rnacentral:lncRNA from 1 species
ACUAGAGGCAUCCAGCACUUACCUCGUCCACAAGGAAUAACCAAAAUAGCAAGCAGAUAAUCACACUUCCAAGAAAGCAUCUAAGAGAGAACACUGGAAUUCAACAGAGAAAUUACAGGAAACACCCAAGGCAUGGACGGAGAAGGAAGCAAAGUAGCCCAGCUCAGCCUUUGAUCAGCUGGGAUCCCAGAGUCACUCACCAGUGUGGGGAAUGGAUAAAUGAGAGAUACCCAGUGGUCUACAUUUCCACCAUGGACUCCUGCAACCCUAGCCAUUGGAGAGCUCCUCAAGCAUUGCUGACCUUGGGACUAGCAGAGAGAGCUGCAUAGAUAUCACAUAAUAACAUUGCUCCAGAGAGGGAGUUCACACUGUGCUCCAGACCAUCUUCUGAGUCCUAGCAGCUGCAGCACAAUGCCACUUUGAGAGCCUAGUCCCCACUUGCCUGCAUUCUGCCUUGGGGCCCAGCAGCCCCUGCAUCUACACAUCCUUGAAGCCACACUGACAUCCUCCUUUGUCUACCUGGAGGUCUGCAGCAGUGUAACACUGGUUGGACUCAGGGGAGCAGUAGGGUUCCCAGCACUCUAGCACACAUAAUGUAUUGUGUCCUGGAAAAUGCGUGGUGCAAUGCAUUGGGAAAGCUCUCCUUGGGACAAACAUGCACUUAUCAGAGCCCAAAAUCCACUUGCCUGGGGCUAUUGCCACUGACAGGAACCCAGUCCUCACCAACAAUAGAGCUUCAGUGCCCUUGCACAUGCUCUGAGGAAAAGCUCUCUCAGCCCCCAGCAGCAGGGAUGCUGCACACUGGCACGCACACUGAGGGCUGCUCUCCCUGCAGCUACCAUUGCCACCAUCAAGGCUACCAUUAUUGGGGGCUGAAGCAUGCCCUCCCCAGAGCCUGACUGCUGCUUGCCUGUGGCUGCUGCCACUGGUAGCAACCCUGUUUCCCCAGCAGCAAGGCCAUAGUGCACUUGCCUGUGCCCUGAGGUGGGGUCUCCUUGUUCACUGCAGCUGUUGCUACUGCCACCCAAGCAUUCCACUGGGGAACCUCGAAAUAAGACCAUCUUGCCUACCACAGCCUGUGCAUGUGUGCACCACUAGGGGACCCAAGGAUGGGUCUAUCUGGUCUGGCACUCCCCCUGUUCCUCAGUGACUAAACACAAUUUCCAGGAAUCUGGAUAUUGCUCCCGCCAUCCACCAUUGUUGGCAUCUGUGCACUUCUCCUGGGAGCUUGAGGAUGGCUCCACUUAGGCUACUGCUACCAUUAUAGCCGGUAUCCAUCUACAUCUACCACCUGGAGGUCUUAGUACUGACACACUUAGCCUGUCAAAGCAAUUCUAACACAAGCCUGUGCCCAUUGGUUGUCCUACCACUGCUACAGCCAUCACUCACAUCACACAUGCUGCCCAGGGGCCAAAAGACCCACCUACCUGCCCAGCUAUUGUUGCCACUACCAGCACCUGAGCAGCCACCUGGAGGCCCACGAAUUGGCUUACUUGGACCCAGUAACAUUGGUGCUUGUGUACGCCACCGAGAGGCCCAAGGACAGGCAUGCUUAGCAUGCUGCCACCACCACUUGGACUCAAGGACAAGUUCACCUGGAGUCCUUAUGCCAACAAAACUGCACUACGGACUACACUGACAACCAUAGCCUGUGCCACUGAGGAAGUCACAGACACUACUGAUGCUGUCUAGAGCCAAAGAAAUCAUACAACGACCAAACUACUGCGUAUACUCAGAAUCAAAGCUAAAGUGUCCUACCCAACCAAAACCAUAGAUACAUCUUCAAAAAAACAUCAUUCCCUAAAAAAGCAAAUUCAAAAAAUCAGAAGAAGCAACUGUUACACUGGAUGGCAGAUACUAACAUAAGAGCACAAGAAAUAUGAAAAAGCAAGGGCAUAUGACACUCCCAAGGCAGAACGUUGGAUACCCUUUGCAACUUUGGGCUUGUGUCUCAUCCAUGAUAGAUGGUAGCUGAUGUAGAUGACCUGGCAGUAAAGGACCCUCUUCCCUAUACUCAGCAUGUUGAGUAGAGCAGCAAGUACUAGAAACAAUUCAUCAUGUUGUCUCUUGUGGGAACCAAGGAACUGUUCAUGGCCAGAGGUGGUGAGCCUGGCAGACUUUAGCCACCCGACUUGCCUCAAGCUCUAUCUGGUUACCCCAAAUAUUGAAGAGACUAAUUAUGACCAAUAUAAUCCAUUGUUAGACUGCCAGAGAGCUCAGAAUACUCUUUGUGAGCCUCUGAGUUUGUCUAUAAAUGCUAUAAAGGUUUUGUUUUGUUUUGUUUUAAAGCUAAACAUUAUAUGAGUAUAUAUGAUCUCACCUCAUGGAUAAGUAACCCAAAAGCCUGUAAAGAGCAGAUUUUGGAUCCAGAUUUGUUUGACUUUAAAACCCUCAUUUGUCACCUCUUUCUUGUGUUGCCUCUAUUUUUAUGAGAAGAGGUAUCAAGUGAUCAAGCAGGACUUCUUUGAGGAGUAGUAUAGGGUUCAUGCUGAGUUUUGAAGGCCUAGCAGAAUUCGGAGAAGCAGAGAACAGGGG